rnacentral:lncRNA from 1 species
CUACGCUUCCUUCUCCAUUUUUUAGCUAAGAGAUUGAGAGAGUCGGUUUACUUUUGGGCUUGGAGUAUCAUUUAGAUCUGUUAACAGUACAGUUGAGAGAGUUGGUGUCUUUUGUUGAGGUGCGAGGACCCGAGGCGGCGACCCUCGCCUUUAUUCGGAGAAGCCCACUUCCACCCACAGAGUUGGGGUAGUCCUCCGAAAUGCAUUUUUGUUUUGCCGUUUGUUUUCCAACCCCCUUUCACUCUCCCCAAAGCUUCAGAUUCACUGAUUUUUCAUACAGGAAUGAUUAACAAAGGCGUCCGAAGAAAUCGUUGUUGGAAGGUGACCAAGGUGGAAAGAGACGUUGCUUUGGCCCUGCAAAGUCUGUCACACUAAGAUGAGAAAUGUCCUUUCUUCCUGAAGGUGUCUGAUGUGUAAAAAUAUGAUAUACUUUGUGCUGUUUCCUCCCUUCCCUUUUGCAUAUUAUUCUGAAACAACAUUAACUAGUUACUUUGCGUCAUUGAAGGUAUGCACUUCCCCUCUAUGUUAGGAGUGAAUAAAAUUAAAAAUAGAUCCUUAUAACAAAGAAAGGCAGAUAGAAUGAUUAAAAAUGACCAAAACAUGUUAGAAACAGUCUCUCAGGUGUAUGCAGAUGGUAAUUACAAAAAUACUUUUUCAA